rnacentral:tRNA from 1 species
GGCAAGGUAGCUCAGCUGGUUAGAGCGCUGGUCUCAUAAGCCGGAGGUCGCGGAUUCGAGUUCCGCCCUUGCUACCA